rnacentral:lncRNA from 1 species
CCCUAUUUUUCUUGCAGCAGUGGUUCAAAGCAAGCUAUCUAAUGGUAACAGAUCUGCUGGUACUCCACUACAUAGGUUGCUUAGAUUUUAUUUCUACCAGAUGCAUGUGGUGUUCAACAUCAUAUUACAGUGAUAUCUCUGUGUUCUCAUAUUACCACUUGCAGUCCAGGAAUUGGUAUUGAGUCCAGAUAUCAUAGUGAUAUCUCUGUGUUCUUCAGUGAAGCAAUAUAAAUAUGCAGCAUGUCUCAAUUGUUAAGCUACGCAAAAUUAUGUAUAUGUACAUGAAAGAUGUAAAUUUCAAUUUAUUUAGUUUUUAUAUGGUGGUUUUUGUAGCACAGUUCUUAGAUUGCCGUAGCAUCUUUUAUGUUGCAGUAACAUAUAAUGGCCUGCUUGGUCAUGAGUCAUGUAUGCAUUUUAGACAUUCGCAGUGCAAGAUUUUGACUAUGCACUGCUCUUUGCACUUUGCACAUAGAAGUGCAAGAAAAUAUUUAUCAUGCAUUGUCGUGGUUAUUACGAUUGUCAUCACACGCAGCGUAGCGCGUGUUUCUUUCUAGUAGAGUUGAA